CAUGUUCGCAACGGCCAUUAACUUCGCUAAUUUCUGUAGUGUGUGACACGAAUUAAAUUAACAUUCCUCGGCUUUAGACCGCCUAGUCCUGACGUGUGUUCGGCCUUUGUUCCACGCACGGCUUGGGAAAAUUAGGCACCUGUUCCCCGGAAAAGGUAUAUUCUGUCACAGAAAUAUGUUCCUCCUGAUAUUCAAUGGGUAUGAAGCUUUGUUGAAUUUACCUGCAAAGUAACUCUAAACGUUUGGCGCCAAAAAUGAAGACAACAAUGGCCUCUGUACUUAGAUGGAAGGUACUUCCUGAUUCGCCAGGUAUAAACAGCAGAAGCAGCCAAGGAUUAUCAUAUGUGGAAUAUUUCUCACUAGAUAAUUAUUAUUUUUCGACACGAAAUCUUUACG